rnacentral:lncRNA from 10 species
GGGAAACAGGUGCCCUAAUAAGCCGGGGCGUCCGCAGACUUAGCACAAGAGUGGCUCCUCAUGCCAAGCAGGCGUCCAGUAGCAGCUGAGUACACUUAGGAGGCUUUGUUGGUGCCAUCUGGGGAACAGGCAGACAAUAGGUACAGACUCUGUCCCCACGUGUACUGUCCAGCUCUUUGGAAUCAUCGCGAAACAAAGAGUUUUGAGAUUCUGAGACAAAAAGAUUUUCCCGGGGUUCCAGGGAUGGGAGAGCUGCUGUCACAAACCAAGGAACACGUGGAGCCACCAGAAACUGGGGGAGGCAAGAAAGGAUCCUCUCCUAGAGCCUUUAGAGGGGGUGCAGCCCUG